rnacentral:rRNA from 1 species
AUUGAACGCUGGCGGAAUGCUUUACACAUGCAAGUCGAACGGCAGCACGGACUUCGGUCUGGUGGCGAGUGGCGAACGGGUGAGUAAUGUAUCGGAACGUGCCCAGUCGUGGGGGAUAACGUAGUGAAAAUUACGCUAAUACCGCCUACGAUCUAUGGAUGAAAGCGGGGGAUCGCAAGACCUCGCGCGAUUGGCGCGGCCGAUAUCAGAUUAGGUAGUUGGUGGGGUAAAGGCCCACCAAGCCAACGAUCUGUAGCUGGUCUGAGAGGACGACAAGCCACACUGGAACUGAGACACGGUCCAGACUCCUACGGGAGGCAGCAGUGGGGAAUUUUGGACAAUGGGCGAAAGCCUGAUCCAGCCAGUCCGCGUGCAGGAUGAAGGCCCUCGGGUUGUAAACUGCUUUUGUACAGAACGAAAAGGUUUCUACUAAUACUAGGAGCUCAUGACGGUACUGUAAGAAUAAGCACCGGCUAACUACGUGCCAGCAGCCGCCGUAA